rnacentral:rRNA from 1 species
AUUGAACGCUAGCGGGAUGCUUUACACAUGCAAGUCGAACGGCAGCGCGGACUUCGGUCUGGCGGCGAGUGGCGAACGGGUGAGUAAUGUAUCGGAACGUGCCCAGUAGCGGGGAUAACUACGCGAAAGCGUAGCUAAUACCGCAUACGCCCUACGGGGGAAAGCAGGGGAUCGUAAGACCUUGCACUAUUGGAGCGGCCGAUAUCGGAUUAGCUAGUUGGUGAGGUAACGGCUCACCAAGGCGACGAUCCGUAGCUGGUUUGAGAGGACGACCAGCCACACUGGGACUGAGACACGGCCCAGACUCCUACGGGAGGCAGCAGUGGGGAAUUUUGGACAAUGGGGGCAACCCUGAUCCAGCCAUCCCGCGUGUGCGAUGAAGGCCUUCGGGUUGUAAAGCACUUUUGGCAGGAAAGAAACGUCGCGGGCUAAUACCCCGUGGAACUGACGGUACCUGCAGAAUAAGCACCGGCUAACUACGUG